rnacentral:tRNA from 1 species
CUAAGGAUGGUUCUUCAGAAGCUUGCUUCUAUCGAACCGUUUUAGAAACAUCAGUGGCCAACAGAUCGCCAGAUCGUUGAGCUGCAUUGGCGGGAUUUCGCCGUCUUCGUUUCUCUUUCUUCGCGGACGAACACGCGCUGGGGCUGCAGGCUUGCAGAUCCCUGGUCCUUGACUGGAUAUGCGUUAGGGGCUUGUAGCUCAGUUGGUUAGAGCGCGCGCUUGAUAAGCGUGAGGUCGGAAGUUCAAGUCUUCCCAGGCCCACCACUUUCAUCGAGUGUGCAUUCGUCUUCUGGUUACGGGGCCAUAGCUCAGCUGGGAGAGCGCGUGCUUUGCAAGCAUGAGGUCGUCGGUUCGAUCCCGUCUGGCUCCACCAGAUGGUUUGAUCACCGAGAUCUUGUACCGUCGUCCGCGAAACAUCACUUCGCACUUGCUAGUCCGGAUGGACAGUAAGCUGCGUGAUUUCUGACAUCGUAAAGAGGAGAUCGAUCCGAGUUGGAUCGUGCGGAGAAUAUCUGCGCGAUACUUCAUUAUCUCCGGAUCAUUUCGGCGCUCGCGCGCCUUUCAGUGUAGCUCACAAGGCUGCGGCUGAGAGACGGGCGAGUUGUGAAUGAUCCUUUUAGCGAAGCUUGACCGCCUCGCUAUCGGAACGAUCUUACGAAGCAAGCUGGUCUUUCUAGUCAAUGUCCGGCUGCAGAUAGCGUUCAUCGAGGGCGCGUGCCGCAAGGUAAUUCUGCAGACAACAUUCUGCCGAGUGUGUGGACAUUGAUAAUGAGAGC